rnacentral:tRNA from 1 species
GUCCUUGUAGCUCAGUGGUAGAGCAGCUGGCCGUUAACCAGCAGGUCCGUGGUUCGAAUCCAUGUGAGGACGCAA